ensembl:processed_transcript
CACUCAUAACCAUAAGAUAAUUAAAACGGGGGGGGGCAGGGUAAAAAAAAACUUUUAUCAGCCAUAGGUUAAUGCAAGUGUUUAACAGAUGCUUCGCUAUUAAAAUAUUUUUCCCCAAUACUGAAGAAUCUUAAACCAGCAACCCUAACAGAGAUUGCGAAGAUUUUCAAAGUAGGGCACCUCGAUUUCUCAAAUCUGUGGUGUGGCGAAUAUCCGUGUUCCUCCUGCUUAACUAGCCUGUUUGGCAGGUCUGAUUCUAUUUUAUUCUAAAGACAGAGUUGGAGAUGGGCUACCAUUGGUGUUGACUGAGAUGUCAAGCAGUCACCUGAAAGGUUCACAGAUGUGGCUAGUCUUGCUAGCCAGCUCGCUCUGUGGAAGUUCUAGGGAUCUGACUGCAGCCCUCAUGCUUGGGAGUCAAACACUUUAACCACUGCACAAGUUUAUGUAACAGGAUUGAAAUAUCAGAAUUAGAGAAAUGAAUGAAAGAUUAGAGGUACGCAAGAGC